AUUGAACGCUGGCGGCGUGCCUAAUACAUGCAAGUCGAACGGUAACACGAAGAAGCUUGCUUCUUGGCUUUCGAGGCGCGGAGGUGUGUGUAACGUCGGGAAAACUCCUUUAUGGCUGGGAAUACCUCCUGGAAACGGUACUUAUUACGGCUAAUCUUCUCAACAGCAUGGUUCGAUAGCGUCAGACGGUUUUCCUGUCGCUUUUACCAGAUGGCGUUCUCUAGUAGGUGGGGUAACGGCUCACCUCGGCGACGGUCACUAGCUGGUCGGAGAGGAUGACAGCCACACUGGAACUGAGACACGGUCCAGAAUCCUACGGGAGGCAGCAGUGGGGAAUAUUGCACAAUGGGCGCAAGCCUGAUGGAGCCAUGCCGCGUGUAUGAAGAAGGCCUUCGGGUUGUAAAAUACUUUUAGCGGGGAAGAAGGGAGUAAAGAUAAAACCUUUGCUCAUUGACGUUACCCGAAGAAGAAGCACCGGCUAACUCCGUG
rnacentral:rRNA from 1 species